CAGCCGCCACGGUAAUACGGAGGGUGCAAGCGUUAAUCGGAAUUACUGGGCGUAAAGCGCACGCAGGCGGUCUGUCAAGUCAGAUGUGAAAUCCCCGGGCUUAACCUGGGAACUGCAUUUGAAACUGGCAGGCUAGAGUCUUGUAGAGGGGGGUAGAAUUCCAGGUGUAGCGGUGAAAUGCGUAGAGAUCUGGAGGAAUACCGGUGGCGAAGGCGGCCCCCUGGACAAAGACUGACGCUCAGGUGCGAAAGCGUGGGGAGCAAACAGGAUUAGAUACCCGAGUAGUCCCUGUCUCUUAUAC
rnacentral:rRNA from 1 species